rnacentral:rRNA from 1 species
AUUGAACGCUGGCGGCAGGCCUAACACAUGCAAGUCGAGCGGAUGAGUGGAGCUUGCUCCAUGAUUCAGCGGCGGACGGGUGAGUAAUGCCUAGGAAUCUGCCUGGUAGUGGGGGACAACGUUUCGAAAGGAACGUUAAUACCGCAUUCGUCCUACGGGAGAAAGUGGGGGAUCUUCGGACCUCACGCUAUCAGAUGAGCCUAGGUCGGAUUAGCUAGUUGGUGAGGUAAAGGCUCACCAAGGCGACGAUCCGUAACUGGUCUGAGAGGAUGAUCAGUCACACUGGAACUGAGACACGGUCCAGACUCCUACGGGAGGCAGCAGUGGGGAAUAUUGGACAAUGGGCGAAAGCCUGAUCCAGCCAUGCCGCGUGUGUGAAGAAGGUCUUCGGAUUGUAAAGCACUUUAAGUUGGGAGGAAGGGCAGUAAGUUAAUACCUUGCUGUUUUGACGUUACCAACAGAAUAAGCACCGGCUAACUUCGUGCCAGCCGCCGCAGUAAGAC